rnacentral:rRNA from 1 species
UACCAGCACCCCGAGUGGUCGGGACGUUUAUUGGGCCUAAAGCAUCCGUAGCCGGUUCUACAAGUCUUCCGUUAAAUCCAACUGCUUAACAGGUGGGCUGCGGAAGAUACUAUAGAGCUAGGAGGCGGGAGAGGCAAGCGGUACUCGAUGGGUAGGGGUAAAAUCCGUUGAUCCAUUGAAGACCACCAGUGGCGAAGGCGGCUUGCCAGAACGCGCUCGACGUGAGGGAUGAAAGCUGGGGGAGCAAACCGG